rnacentral:rRNA from 1 species
AUUGAACGCUGGCGGCAGGCCUAACACAUGCAAGUCGAGCGGAUGAAGGGAGCUUGCUCCUGGAUUCAGCGGCGGACGGGUGAGUAAUGCCUAGGAAUCUGCCUGGUAGUGGGGGAUAACGUCCGGAAACGGGCGCUAAUACCGCAUACGUCCUGAGGGAGAAAGUGGGGGAUCUUCGGACCUCACGCUAUCAGAUGAGCCUAGGUCGCAUUAGCUAGUUGGUGGGGUAAAGGCCUACCAAGGCGACGAUCCGUAACUGGUCUGAGAGGAUGAUCAGUCACACUGGAACUGAGACACGGUCCAGACUCCUACGGGAGGCAGCAGCGGGGAAUAUUGGACAAUGGGCGAAAGCCUGAUCCAGCCAUGCCGCGUGUGUGAAGAAGGUCUUCGGAUUGUAAAGCACUUUAAGUUGGGAGGAAGGGCAGUAAGUUAAUACCUUGCUGUUUUGACGUUACCAACAGAAUAAGCACCGGCUAACUUCGUG